AAUCCAAGCACUCCUGUCCACCCGUUCUGCUCUUAUCUCCUCGUCUCUCUCUGACUCUCCUACUCCCAAUCUCCCUCCUCACCCAACAGUAGCAAGAACCAUGGCCACGCCGGCGCGGCUGUAGUACUCACUACGUCCGCAACCACGGGCCCAUCCCACGGCCGCGCAGGGACGACAACGGCUGGGCGACCUGGACCAUCGAGGUGUCGGGCCUCGUCCAGCGCCCCGCGCGGCUCACCGUCUGGGACGUGCUCGCCCAGGAAGGCACGCUCCACGUCUGCUUCGAGGGCGCCGAGAACCUCACCGGCGGCGGCGGGACCAAGUACGGCACCAGCAUCACACGCGAGUAGGCCAUGGAAAUGCCAAGGAAACACCAGAAGGUGAAGAACCCAAAUCUGCAGAUCAGAUCGUGGGUGAAGUUUUGUGUGAGUACUUAGUACUGUCAAUCAAGCUAGCUCUUAGAGAAUUUGUUUAUAUGGGUUAGAGAGACAUGAUGGCUUGAGAGCAACUUGGAGUAGCAUGGGCACUCAUAUGCAGCUUUUCUUUCUAGUUUGUUUACCCCUUCUGUAUGCAGUGGUGAAUAGGGGGUCGUUUUACCUUUGUGUUAAGUGUUGACUAGAUCAAGUCCUGUUAGUUUGAUUUAAUAGUUUUUCAACUGUGUUGAUUGUAAAAACUGCAUUUGUUAUUGGAAUAUUUAUGAAUAUUUCCGCUCAUCAGUAAAGUUGCUGCACAGCGGCUAUGAAUAUUUGAAAGAAUGA